rnacentral:rRNA from 1 species
GGGAGGCAGCAGUGGGGAAUAUUGCGCAAUGGGGGAAACCCUGACGCAGCAACGCCGCGUGAAGGAUGAAGGUUUUCGGAUCGUAAACUUCUUUGAUUGGGGACGAAUAAUCACGGUACCCAAAAAACAAGCCACGGCUAACUACGUGCCGGCAGCCGCGGUAAUACGUAGGUGGCGAGCGUUGUCCGGAAUUACUGGGUGUAAAGGGCGUGUAGGCGGGAAAGUAAGUCAGAUGUGAAAUUCCAGGGCUCAACUCUGGCGCUGCAUCUGAAACUAUUUUUCUUGAGUGAUGGAGAGGAAAGUGGAAUUCCUAGUGUAGCGGUGAAAUGCGUAGAUAUUAGGAGGAACACCAGUGGCGAAGGCGACUUUCUGGACAUUAACUGACGCUGAGGCGCGAAAGCGUGGGGAGCAAACAGGAUUAGAUACCCCGGUAGUCUA